rnacentral:rRNA from 1 species
GAUGAACGCUGGCGGCGUGCUUAACACAUGCAAGACGAACGAUGAAAGCGGGAGCUUGCUCCUGCUGGAUUAGUGGCGAACGGGUGAGUAACACGUGAGCAAUCUGCCCCGAACUCUGGGAUAAGCGUUGGAAACGACGUCUAAUACCGGAUACGACGCGCGAAGGCAUCUUCUGCGCGUGGAAAGAAUUUCGGUUCGGGAUGAGCUCGCGGCCUAUCAGCUAGUUGGUGAGGUAACGGCUCACCAAGGCGACGACGGGUAGCCGGCCUGAGAGGGUGACCGGCCACACUGGGACUGAGACACGGCCCAGACUCCUACGGGAGGCAGCAGUGGGGAAUCUUGGACAAUGGGCGCAAGCCUGAUCCAGCCAUGCCGCGUGAGUGAAGAAGGUCUUCGGAUUGUAAAGCUCUUUUGCCAGGGACGAUAAUGACGGUACCUGGAGAAUAAGCCCCGGCAAACUUCGUGCCAGCCGCCGCGGUAAGAC